rnacentral:rRNA from 1 species
GAACCGUCCAAACGUUAUUCGGAAUUAUUGGGCUUAAAGGGUGCGUAGGCUGUGCAGUAAGUUGGGUGUGAAAUCCCUCGGCUCAACCGAGGAACUGCGCCGAAUACUGCUGUGCUAGAGGAAGAUAGGGGUAAGCGGAACUGAUGGUGGAGCGGUGAAAUGCGUUGAUAUCAUCAGGAACACCGGUGGCGAAGGCGGCUUACUGGAUCUUUUCUGACGCUGAUGCACGAAAGCCAGGGGAGCGAACGGGAUUAGAUACCCCGGUAGUCCUGGCUGUAAACGAUGAGCACUUGGUCGGAGGCUCCUCCAUAGGCUUCUGGCCGUAGCGAAAGUGUUAAGUGCUCCGCCUGGGGAGUAUGGUCGCAAGGCUGAA